rnacentral:rRNA from 1 species
AAGUCGAACGAGAAAUUACCUUCGGGUAAUGGAAAGUGGCGCACGGGUGAGUAACACGUGGGUAUCUGCCUUUUAGUGGGGGACAACUACCGGAAACGGUAGCUAAUACCGCAUAAGCUCUACGGAGGAAAGUGGGGGAUCUUCGGACCUCACGCUAAAAGAUGGGCCCGCGCCUGAUUAGCUUGUUGGUGGGGUAAUGGCCUACCAAGGCGAUGAUCAGUAACUGGUUUGAGAGGAUGAUCAGUCACACUGGAACUGAGACACGGUCCAGACUCCUACGGGAGGCAGCAGUGGGGAAUAUUGCACAAUGGGGGAAACCCUGAUGCAGCGACGCCGCGUGCGGGAAGAAGGCCUUCGGGUUGUAAACCGCUUUCAGAUGGGAAGAAGCAAUGAGGGUUAAUAACUCUCUGCGUUGACGGUACCUUCAGAAGAAGCACCGGCUAAUUUCGUGCCAGCAGCCGCGGUAAUACGAAAGGUGCAAGCGUUGUUCGGAUUUACUGGGCGUAAAGCGAGUGUAGGUGGUUUGUUAAGUCGGAUGUGAAAUCCCGGGGCUCAACCCCGGAACUGCAUUCGAUACUGGCAGACUAGAGUUCGGGAGGGGGAUGCGGAAUUCCGUGUGUAGCAGUGAAAUGCGUAGAUAUACGGAGGAACACCUGAGGCGAAGGCGGCAUCCUGGACCGAUACUGACACUGAGACUCGAAAGCGUGGGUAGCAAACAGGAUUAGAUACCCUGGUAGUCCACGCCCUAAACGAUGUCAACUAGCCGUUGCGGGUAUCGACCCCUGCAGUGGCGCAGCUAACGCGAUAAGUUGACCGCCUGGGGAGUACGGUCGCAAGAUU